AGUGAGGAAUAUUGGUCAAUGGAGGCAACUCUGAACCAGCCAUGCCGCGUGCAGGAAGACUGCCCUAUGGGUUGUAAACUGCUUUUAUACAGGAAGAAACCUUUCCACGUGUGGAGAGCUGACGGUACUGUAGGAAUAAGCACCGGCUAACUCCGUGCCAGCAGCCGCGGUAAUACGGAGGGUGCAAGCGUUAUCCGGAAUCAUUGGGUUUAAAGGGUCCGUAGGCGGGCGAUUAAGUCAGAGGUGAAAUCCCACAGCUUAACUGUGGAACUGCCUUUGAUACUGGUUGUCUUGAGUUAUAGUGAAGUAGAUAGAAUGUGUAGUGUAGCGGUGAAAUGCAUAGAUAUUACACAGAAUACCGAUUGCGAAGGCAGUCUACUAACUGUAUACUGACGCUAAUGGACGAAAGCGUGGGGAGCGAA
rnacentral:rRNA from 1 species